GCCUCUAUAGCUUAACGGAUAAAGCACCUGUCUUCGGAACAGGUGAUGGGGGUUCGAUUCCUCCUAGAGGCA
rnacentral:tRNA from 1 species